rnacentral:rRNA from 1 species
GACAGAGGUGCCAAGCGUUAGGCGGAAUCACUGGGCUUAAAGCGUGUGUAGGCGGAAUGGUAAGUACCUUGUGAAAUCCCACGGCUCAACCGUGGAACUGCUUGGUAUACUGCUUUUCUUGAGCCACUUAGGGGCAACCGGAACAAACGGUGGAGCGGUGAAAUGCGUAGAUAUCGUUUGGAACGCCAAUGGUGAAAACAGGUAGCUGGGGCUGUGCUGACGCUGAGACACGAAAGCCAGGGGAGCAAACGGG